GCAGCAGGCGCGAAACCUUUACACUGCACGCACGUGCGAUAAGGGGACUCCGAGUGCGAGGGCAUAUCGUCCUCGCUUUCGUGUACCGUAGGGUGGUACACCAACAAGGGCUGGGCAAGACCGGUGCCAGCCGCCGCGGUAAUACCGGCAGCCCGAGUGAUGACCGAUCUUAUUGGGCCUAAAGCGUCCGUAGCUGGCUGCGCAAGUCCGUCGGGAAAUCCACUCGCCCAACGAGUGGGCGUCCGACGGAAACUGCACAGCUUGGGACCGGAAGGCUCGAAGGGUACGUGCGGGGUAGGAGUGAAAUCCCAUAAUCCCGCACGGACCACCGAUGGCGAAAGCACUUCGAGAAAACGGAUCCGACAGUGAGGGACGAAAGCCAGGGUCUCCAACCGGAUUAGAUACCCGGGUAGUCCUGGCCGUAAACAAUGUUCGCUAGGUAUGACACAGACUACGUGUCUCUGUUGUGCCGUAGGAAGCCGAGAAGCGAAC
rnacentral:rRNA from 1 species